rnacentral:lncRNA from 10 species
CGUUUCUGCCACUUUGAGUUUGGCGAUCCAUCAGGCAGCUGAGUGGAGGGGACAUCGUGAUGACGGCUUGCUGAAAAAUGAGCAGACUGCCUCACAUGUGCCAAUCAUCUGGAUAACUUAGUCUGUGUGGAUGGCAGAAUUAAUCAAGUGGCUUUCGGAUGAGACUGUCUAAUUUAGUCAUCCACGUUGGCUGGGGGUGUUGGGUUUUCUCAUCUUUAAAAAGGAAAUGGUGUUAUGUUUUUAAAAGGUUGCUGUAGGGAUUAAUUGGUUAAUUAGCAUGAAUACAUUAAGAAUGAUUACUAUUGCCCAUCUAAGCAGGUUAAUAUGGUUCAUUUAGUCUCUGACAUUUCACUUGUUUUGUUAAGUUCUAGCUUCAUUAUUUACUCACAGAAUCACCUGGCUGAGCCUCAGUUUCUUCACACAUGUGCUUUAUUUGGCUGUUGAGAGGAUAAAAUAACUUACAAAAGAAAGUGCAAACCACACAUCAAACAUUUUUAAUCACCUAAAAAGAAGCAACAGAGAUUAGUUUGGCUUUUGGUGUAUAUACCAUCUUCUUCCUAAAAGAGUAAAGCAUGAUUAAAACAAAACAAAAAUCCUAUAGGCCUAUUGAAAGAAGGAUAAAAGAACAUAUAGAGUCAUUAAAGAUGAGAGCUGGGGAGAUAAAUAGUUGAAUUGGAAACCAAGAAUGAAAACAGCUAUGGCAGUUGAGUAUAAAACUUUGCUUUGAGCUUCCUGGUGGCCAAGGCAAAAAGGGAAAGAAAGUGAGUAGAAUCAGUCUGAUGUAGAGUAUCUCAAUAUGGACACCGCUGACAUGUUGGCCUGGACAAUUCUUUGCUCUGAUGGCUGUUCUCUGAAUUGUAGGGUGUUUAGAACAUCCCUGGUCUCUACCUAUUAGGUGCCAAUAGCACUCCCACUUACUCCUCUUUCUGGUUGUGACAAUAAAAAAUGUCUCCAGACAUUGCCAAAUGUCCUCUGUGAGUGAAUACUGCCCCUGGUGGAUAACUUAUGAUCUAAUGAAAUGAGGCAAAUCUUGAUGUGGGGUCUUUGGUUAAAGGACCAGGCAAGGUGACUACCAGGGCCUUCAGAGCCAGGGUCUCAAAGUCUGCAGACAAAUUUUCAGGCUGUGCUGUGCCCAACCUAUGAUGACACCAGACCCAAGUCUGGUGAUUUCUAUCAGUGAAGCUCCUCUUCUCUGGGUGACGCUGUUGCUUCUCCCAUCCUAUGACCAUCUCCUUUGGUUAAGGCCAUUUCCAGGCUCUAGGCUAAGGGCCUUGUGUGCACAGCACAGGCUUUCUCUUGUCAAGUCCUCAGAGUUGGCUUUCUCUUGUCAAGUCCUCAUCCUUGUAAUCAUUAUGACGUCCAUUUGACGGAUGGGGAGACUGAGCUUUGGAUAGGUCGAGCAGCUUGCCAAAUGCCACACUCUACGUGGCAGAAGGGGAUUUUGAACUGAGGUAACUUGGCCCCAUACUUUUAACUACUAGAGCAAUGCUUUUCAACUGGGCGAUGAUUUUGCCCCCCUCCCCGCCCCCCCGCCCCCCCCAGUGGACAAUUGGAAUACCUGGGAAAGUUGUCACAACUGCGGUUGGGGGUGCCCCUGGCAUCUAGCUGGUAAGGCUAAGGCCGCCCCCCAACACGGAAUUGUACCCUGCAACAUCCCACCUCUCUUGAGAGUGGUCCAGAGCGAGGAGAUUUGGGCCUGGCAAGAUGCGGGAUUCUGGAAGAGGAGGGAAGGUGGUGGACCAUGGUGCCCCUGGGGUACUAACUGGGCUUGGCUGCCUUCUCCACAGCCUCUCCACCUCCUAGAAGAGAGGCCCAGGCCUGGAUUUUCCCACACUGCUGCUGAUGUCUGCAUGGGCACGGAGAGUCCUGCUGCUGCCCAGGAACUCAUCCUGAAGUUUUUAAGAUUCUAGACACAUUUCUUUCUUUAUUUUUAGUUGAUGAGGAAAAGUUGGAAGAUAAAUGUAUAAUCCUAGACCUGCAGAAUUGUCAGAGGCCAUUAUGCUGAGCGUCACGAGGGGGGCUCUGGAGUCAGGCAGGACUCCAGGCACCAACUGCCACUACCUACCAAACGACAAGGCUGACUCUGCCUCCUCUGAGGCCACCACACUCGCUGCUCCUCCUGCUCCCUCACCUGCACUGUGAAGAUAGUAAUAGGACCCAGCUCACAGUGUUGUUGGAGGAUUCAAUGAGGUGAGGAAAAAUGAGGCCCACAGAGGCGCGACAGGCAAACACCCAGCGGGGCAGGUGCUGGGACCCCUCUGCCAGCCCAGAGCUUGCUGCAGGACCCAUUCCAGAAAGAGGAGGAAUUCCCAGCUGAGGCCAAAGUUCAUUCCAUCAGAGGUGUUGCAGUGUGGUGGGGAGGAGUCUUGCGGUGAGAAACAGGUAGAUGCUGCUGCAGUGGAAACCGAGGAAGUGCGAGAAUGUGCGUCCUCCACAUGUCUGUCCUCGAAGCCUGUCCUGCUCCAACAAGGGGACCCCAAGAACAGCAUUUAGUGGCGGCCUAGCACCUGAAGUCCUCGGAUCCACCACCAGGUUUGCUGUGUGACCUUGGGGAAACGUCUUCCCCAGUCUGGGCUGUGGUUGGGAAGAAUCCUUCUCCCUUGUUAUUGAGGACCAGUGAGGCCAUCAGUCUUCUCUGCCAGAGAAAGACGCUGGGGACAUGCUCCCCUCAGCACCCAGGAUUGGGAAAACUGCAAGAGGCAGAGGGAGUGGUGCCAGCCCACCUGCCUGUGUAGGAAUCUUGGCUCCUUCUGUCCAGCUCUGUCUCCCCUGGCCCUUCUCUGUGGCUUCUGGUCUUCACUGCCCUGGUUGUACACGCCGCCCCCACCCCUCUCUCCCUGUCUUUUGUCUCUCUGUUUUUUUUUUUUUUUUUUUUUUACUCUCCCUUCCCUCUCCUUCUCUCCCUCCCUCUUCCCUCUCCCUGGCCACCUCCUUCUCCCCCUUCCCCUCCCCUUCUCUCUUUCCCUUUCACUGUUUAUCCCGGAUCCUCUUUUCCUGCAGGGACACUCUGGAAAGCCCUGGCUCCAAACCAGUGUGAUUCUAAUCUUCCCAGCAGACUGUCUAAAAUGUAAUUUACGAGCAAGGCUCUCCCGGCUUCUCCAUCCUGCAGCCUGGGCAGGACUCCCAGCCAGUGAAUGGGCUGGGGAGCGGGAGUGGGGCUGGGGCCAGCCUCGCUGGGUCAUCUCCCAUUCUGCUCUAUCUGCCCAUCAGCUGGGGGAACGGGCCCAAACCCGGGGAAGCUUUUCACUUGGAACCGACUUCAGUUCCGGGUUCAUGGAAGGCAGUUGGCCCCGAUGCAGCAACAGAUUGCCGUUUGCUGUGGACUCUGCAAAACCUUGCGGCAGGAGAGACCUCUUGGAGGCCAUGACAUUAGGCCAGGACAUUUGCGCAUUCAUUAACUCAUGUUACUGUACACUUUCUAUGCAUCACACAGUCCUGGGAGCUGAGGUUGUAGUGCCGAGCACAGAGACCAGUUCCUGUUCUUUUGAAGCUAGCAGUUUGGUGGAAGGGACCGACAUUAAUCCCAUAGUUACUUAAGAGAAUGCUGGCGGGGCACGGUGGCUCAUGUCUGUAAUCCCAGCAUUUUGGGAGGCCUAGGCAGGAGGAUCUCUUGAGGCCAGGAGUUUGAGACCAGCCUGGGCAACCUAUUGCGACCCUCAUCUCUAAGAAAAUUAAAAUUAACCAGGCAUGGUGGCAAAUGCCUGUAGUCCCAGCUACUAGGGAGGCUGAAGUGGGAGGAUCGAUUUAGCCCAGGAGGUCAAGGCUACAGUGAGCUAUGUUUGUGCUCAGCCUGGGCGACACAGUAAGACUCUGUCUCAAAACAACAACAUAAAACCAAAGAAUGUUAAACAGAUUUCCUUUAGUUCUGUGCUGAAGGAGAGGAAUAGGAUGCUUUAUAAUAUGGGGGUUGACUAGGUCUGUUGGGGGAGGCACAAAGGAAGCCACCCCCACUUUUUUGCAUGAUAAUGAAUAAUGACACCAUUAGUGGCGUGUUUAUACAGAGAGGCGGUGACAAAUAUAAUUCCUCCUUUGCUGCCACUUUUGACUUUAUGUGUGUUGAAUUUAGAUACCCCUCCAUCAACUGAUGUGAGCGGCUCCUGGAGGGUCCUUAAAGGGUCCCAAACUAUGAGCGCUGCUCUCGACCUGUACACCAGACACAGGUAAAGGGACUUCUCACUCCCCCCACUUCCAAACUAUGAGCGCUGCUCUCGAUCUGUAUGUACACCAGACACAGGUAAAGGGACUUCUCACUCCCCCCACCUCCAAACUAUGAGCGCUGCUCUCGACCUGUACACCAGACACAGGUAAAGGGACUUCUCACUCCCCCCACCUCCAAACUAUGAGCGCUGCUCUCGACCUGUACACCAGACACAGGUAAAGGGACUUCUCACUCCCCCCACUUCCAAACUAUGAGCGCUGCUCUCGAUCUGUACACCAGACACAGGUAAAGGGACUUCUCACUCCCCCCACCUCCACUGUCUGCCCUGCCACUGGGCCCAAUUCUGGAAGGGGUGAACAGCUCGGAAGAAGGCCGGGCUCGGCAGCCACGGUGCUCUCUCUGGGCCUCUGUUCUCACUGCAAAGUGGACUAACAGGCCUCCAUGGACCAGCUCACAGUAUUUGCUGUAAGGGUCACAUGAAGCGAUUGAUGUGAAAAGUAUUUAUUGUCUUGGAAAUUCCUGAAUUCACCACCAUAUUCCUCACUGCCAUCCUCAUCCAUGAAAGCGAGGGGGCUGAGGGAGGUUUUGAGACUUCCCAUGAAGCCCCUUCUUUCUGGGAUUUCAACACACCCAACUCCGUGGAGCGCGUGGCCGCCUUCUCAGCGGAGCAAUGCUGUCACCUAGUGGCCACUCCGCACCCUUCUCCUUGGAAUCAGGAGCUGACCCGGAGCACCUGCCCUUGGGAGCUGUCCCCAGGUACCCCUCCACACCUGCAAAGCUACCGGUGGUCAGGGCUUCCGUGUCUGGUCAUGAGAGAGCAAAUAUUGCAGUGGAGAAGAGGGGCUGAGGAGGCAGGGUCCCUGCUCUUAUGAAGGGCAGCUUGUCCUUGGGCCCCCUAGCUCCUCCUGCCAUUGGACUUGGCUUGGCAGAUAUUCCAUCAGAGCAGGCGAGGGCAGGAGGCCUGGGUUUCCAGACCCUCAUCUGCAGGGUGCCUGUCAGUGUUGAAGUCAAGAAGCUCCUUCGUGUGAGCCUCACCCUGUUUCUACCUCGUGUCUUCCUGUAGUUUAUUCUCUACCUGGCUUCUAGAGUGAUCCCUUUAAAAGCAAGUCAGAUGAUGUCAUGCCGCUGCUCAAACCCUGCAGUUAUUCCCACUCAGAGUAAAACCAAAGACAGCAAGACAGGAUCGGGGCCUGUGGGUAACCUUCCCUGCCCUUGUUUAUCUUUUUAGUUUUUGUUUUCAAUAUUUAUUUAUUCACUUAUUUAUUUUUUAUUUUUUGAGAUGGAGUCUUGCUCUGUUGCUCAGGCUGGAGCGCAGUGGUGCACUCAGCUCACUGCAAUCUCUGCCUCCCGGGUUCAAGCGAUUCUCUUGCCUCAGCUUCUCAAGAAGCUGGGAUUACAGGCAUAUGUCACCAGGCCCAGAUAAUUUUUGUAGUUUUAGUAGAGACAGGGUUUUGCCAUGUUGGCUAGACUGGUGCUGGUCUCAAGCUCCUGACCUCAGGUGAUCCACCCAUCUCGGCCUCCCAAAGUGCUGGGAUUAUAGGCAUGAGCCACUGCACCUGGCCUUGUUUUGUUUUUGAGACAGGGUCUCACUCUAUCACCGAGGCUGGAGUGCAGUGGUGCAAUCAUGGCUCACUGCAGCCUUGACCUGACGGGCUCAAGCAAUCCUCCUACCUCAGCCUCCUGAGUAGCUGGGACUACAGGUGUGCCCCUCCAUGCCCAGCUAAUUGGCAUUUAUUUUUUUGUUCUUUUUUUCUUUUUCUUUCUUUCUUUUCUUUUUUUUUUUUUCUUUUUUUUUUUGAGACAGAGUCUCGCCCUAUCACCCAGGCUGGAGUGCAAUGGCGCGAUCUCAGCUCAUUGCAACCUCCGCCUCCAGGUUCAAGUGAUUCUCCUGUCUCAGCCUCCUGAGUAGUUGGGAUUACAGGCACGUGCCAUCAUGCCCGGCUAAUUUUUUGUAUCUUCAGUAGAGGCAGGGUUUCACCAUGUUGUGCAGGCUGGUCUGGAACUCUGGGACUCAAGCAAUCCUCCCACCUCGGCCUCCCAAAGUGCUGGGAUUACAGGCUUGAGCCACUGUGCCCAGCUCUGUUUAUCUUUCAGACUGCACCUGCCCCUCAUCAGCUCCUCUCCAGCCUCCUUGUCAUGCCUUAAACUCUCACUGCUGCUCCCUCUGCUUGGAAUGACCUUCCCCUGGGUAGCUGCACAGGUGGGCCCUCGUGUCAUUUAUCACUCUGCUUAAAUAGCCCUUACUCAGAAAAGUCUGCCUUAACUAAAUUAGCAGCCUCCAUCACUUUUCUUCCCCUUUGCCUACUUUGCUUUCUUCACAGGACUCACAAUAUAUGGUUGUUUCUUGGUAUCUGCGGUGAUACUAAAAUCUGCGGAUGCUCAAGUCCCUUCUAUAAAAUGCUGUAGUAUUUGUGUAUAAACUUCACAUAUCCUCUCAUAUACUUUAUUUUUAUUUUUAAUUUUUUUUGGGACAGGGUCUCACUCCAUCACCCAGGCUGGAGUGCAGUGGCGUGAUCUCGGUUCACCGCAACCUCUGCCUCCCGGGUUCAAGCAGUUCUGAUGCCUCAGCCUCCUGAAUAGCUGGGAUCACAGGCAUGAGCCACCAUGGCUGGCUAAUUUCUAUAUAUAUUUUUAAAAGUAGAGACAGGGAGGUUAAGAGGAGGGUUUAGAUAAUAAAAUGUGUGGUAUAGAGUUCUGGAAAAUGCAUAGUGUAUAGUGCUCCUAGAAAGAUUUGUAGUAGUUAGGGCAUUUAUUAUAAUAAUGUUCAUGUACUCUGCUACAAAAAAGAGAGCGUAUGGGCCUGCAGCAUAUUCAAUAUUAAACUCUGAGACUAAUUCUCAUUCUCCUUCUGUCAG